rnacentral:rRNA from 1 species
UACGUAGGGGGCAAGCGUUGUCCGGAAUUAUUGGGCGUAAAGAGCGCGUAGGCGGUCCGAUAAGUCCGCUGUGAAAGUCGGGGGCUCAACCCUCGGAUGCCGGUGGAUACUGUCGGGCUUGAGUACGGAAGAGGCGAGUGGAAUUCCUGGUGUAGCGGUGAAAUGCGCAGAUAUCAGGAGGAACACCAAUUGCGAAGGCAGCUCGCUGGGACGUUACUGACGCUGAGACGCGAAAGCGUGGGGAGCAAACAGG